rnacentral:rRNA from 1 species
UACGUAGGGGGCAAGCGUUAUCCGGAUUUACUGGGUGUAAAGGGAGCGUAGACGGCCAGACAAGUCUGAAGUGAAAAUCCAGCGCUUAACGUUGGAAGUGCUUUGGAAACUGCCGGGCUAGAGUGCAGGAGGGGCAGGCGGAAUUCCUAGUGUAGCGGUGAAAUGCGUAGAUAUUAGGAGGAACAUCAGUGGCGAAGGCGGCCUGCUGGACUGCAACUGACGUUGAGGCUCGAAGGCGCGGGGAGCAAACAGG